UUACUAUGUUUCGAAAAGCAGAAACUAUGGGAAAGGAAAUAGAGCGAAAUGUAGGAGGAGAGUGGUAGGAAAUGAAGAUUUUGUAUUUACCCUAUAAACAAAUAUUUCUAGGAAAAAAUAAUUAAGGACAAAUAAAAUUUCACUUAUUAUAUAAUUACUUUCUUUUUCAGCCCUCUAAAAUUUUAUCCAAACAAGUAAAAGGAAAAUAAAUUUUCCUUCCUCAACAUGUUCCCUCCCUAUUUUCCUUCCCUUAUUUUCUCUUCCCCCCUCAUAUUCUUUCCAAAUGGAAGGUUUCGG
rnacentral:misc_RNA from 1 species